UCCCGUAACGAGCGCAACCCUUGUCCUUAGUUACCAGCACGGUUAUGGUGGGCACUCUAAGGAGACUGCCGGUGACAAACCGGAGGGAAGGUGGGGAUGACGUCAAGUCAUCAUGGCCCUUACGGCCUGGGCUACACACGUGCUACAAUGGUCGGUACAAAGGGUUGCCAAGCCGCGAGGUGGAGCUAAUCCCAUAAAACCGAUCGUAGUCCGGAUCGCAGUCUGCAACUCGACUGCGUGAAGUCGGAAUCGCUAGUAAUCGUGAAUCAGAAUGUCACGGUGAAUACGUUCCCGGGCCUU
rnacentral:rRNA from 1 species